CUGUGCGAGUAACUUCCCUUUUGAAAAAUUCACAAUUUCACUAACAAUCGGAAACAACAUGCAAGAGCAAGAGGAGAAACUGGAGAAAACCAAUUCGCGCAGAAGAGUGAAGCUUCGAUUCGUUUAGUUUUCUUCUUCCACUGAAUCCCAUGGCGAGAGUGAAGCACACGCCAGCUUCUCGCAAGCUUGGUAGGAAGAACAAAGCACCGCAGGCAUUCACUUCCGCGCCAAAAUCACCGCAAUCUCAAUCGAAUUCAUAAAUCCAUAUGGAAUCCGUUCCUCGUCCCAGACUCAGAAUGAUUCUGAUUCUUCGUCUGAAAGAUUGUCAUGACAGCAGAAACGGAAAAUCAACAUGGCAAUUUGGAGCUUAGUUACAACAAUGAGGAAUUUCGAUUAGAGGGAAAUAGUAAUGGUGGUUACAUGGACAAGGCAUGCCUUUAUAAUCAUUCCUCUGUGGGGGAUGGAACUGUGACUUUUUCAGAAGGCAAUUGUCAUGUUGAUAUCAAUGACCAGUUUGAAGGGGAAUUAGAGGGCAAGGCUGAAAAUCACACUGUUUCCUGUAGUAGUGAAGUUCCAUUUUGCAAAAGCAUUCCAGGUGAGGGAAGCUCUAGGGGUUACCCUUUCUGUAUUGUGCUCUAACAUUCGGCUAUAUCAUUCAAGUCAUCAGGAUAAUGCACAGGGAGAGAGAAAUGAUAAGUUGAUAGCUUGGUGAAAGAUGAAAGCUGGGUUUAGUUUCUUACAGGGCGUGCUGCUGAAGCAGUUGUGAAAAUUUAGAUUGUUACCCAAUCAGAUAAAGUGGUGAAUCUCGUAGAUAUUAGUUCUCAAAAUGGGCAUCAAGAUGGUGAUUCAGAAGAUGACAUGAAAUGGAUGGAAACGCUACCAAUGUGA